rnacentral:lncRNA from 1 species
CGGUUCUGUUUUGAUUCAAUGAGUAAAACACACCUACCAUUUCAGAACAUGUCUGUUGGUGUUUCCUUAAAUCUCUUCUCUGGGAAUAAUUCUUUCCACAAUUGUUACACAUAUUAUUUUUUUUUUGCAAGAUGGUUGACAUUGUUCAUGCAGGACUAAGUCUGUUUUAUUUUGAAAGUUUGUUUCACAAUAUUUACAUUUUAAUGAACAGGUGUUCUGGUGUCGUAGGAAAGCAUCCUUUCUGUUAAAAGUUUUAACACAUUUAGCACAGGAGAAGCAACUAGAUC